CGGGUCACAUGAUGCAGAAGUGCCUGGUCAACCCUCCUAUACAAAGCUAUUUAAGUCAGGACUUGUGGCACUGCCCACACACUACCAGUGGGAAGACUGCCUACAUACUACCAGUAGGAAGACUGCUAACACUCACUACCAGUGGGGAGACUGCCUACAUACUACCAGUAGGAAGACCUAGAGAAGGAUAUGGAUAUCAAAGAUUCACCUGUGAAGGGAGGUAUCUCUAUUCUUCACACAGAGGAGGAUGGGAAACACCACUAUGAAGUGGAGAAGGUCCUCAAGUUCAAGAAAGGAGGACAAGGAGGAGGAGCCUUCGCCAGAGAAGGAGACAAGCUCCUGACGAUCAAUGGAGUGGACCUACAGGAUCUAUCCCCAGAGGCCUUCGCCAAGAUUCUGACGGAAGGAAACCCCAUGUUGACUGUCCACCAAGCCAGCAGGGCUCCUCCACCAGAGAGAUGCCCAGAGGGGGCUGAGGCCAGAGCUCUCCACCCAGUCUCCAAGGAGAGCACCAUGCUCAGCUUCAGCCUGGAGAUGAGACGAGAGGACGACCUGGAUGACCUGGAUGACCUGGAGAGUGACUCCUAUCGCCCUUUGGAAGACCUCACGGAAGAGGAAGUCAACAAAGCCGAUGGUGAGGUUGACGGUCUGUUCGUGGUUGCCAUGACGAACACCAGAAUCUCCGUGGUGAGGGGGCGUGGCUGCGGUGACGGGAGCUCUUGUCACAACUGUGGCAAGUCGGAUUGUAACUUCAACGAGGUUGUCAUGGUCGCAGAGUCCAGCAAAAUCACACUGGGGUGUACCCUGGGUAUGUUCUGGUGCUUACUUCAACAGAUUCAACACGUCUGGUUGUGUCUCGAGGAAUGGGCAACUUGGAAAAAGUACAACAGUUGGACAACAUCUUUAUUGAAAACUAUUUAUACCGCACGUACCUUCGGCAUACAGGUUGGAUGUGGAGUAUUCCUAGUUUGUCACCAACUCCAGAGAAGAUCACCAUCUAUCACUACAAGUCUGACUGUGUGGACGGAGAGUUUCGGGGGGUCCCUGUGGUCCUCAACUUCACCAGCUCUAACUGUUUCCUCAAGUGUGUUAAGGACGGAGAGAGAGUCUCUCUCUGUGUUGAGGCUUGUGACAAACACAGACUGAAAAGCAUCAGGAAGGAUGAUGAGGAGAUCCAGGCGUUUGUCUUCUACAUGAAAGCUGAAAUGAGCAAACAGCGCCGGUUUGAGUCCGCCUACUGCCAGGGCUGGUUCAUCCGCACUUCUAAUGAGACCAAAGUAGAUUUGGGGAAACCCCAGGGGAUGACAGGGGACCAGUCAUUCCUCUUUGUCAUCCAUAAAUGAUGAAGAGGGUUUGUUGUUUCUGCAUGUUAUGUUACUCUAUGUAGUUUCUAUAGUGUAUUUUUAUACCACCAUUUUAUACCACUGUUUUAUACCAUCAUUUUAUACCAUGUAAUUUGUAUUUUUGUAUUGAUCCCAUGAGUCCCUGGAAAACAAUGAUGAUUGCUGAGUGGACUAUACUGGCUACCAUAAAUGUACUGUAGAUGAAUUGAAUGUAGAGAAACAGAGCCCAGGAAAAGCAUGGGGGUGUACUGGUAUUACAAUACGUAUGUGUAAUGCAACAAUGCAGCAGUGACCUGUUAUUCUGCUAUUGCAGAGAGAAGUAGCUAUGUAUCAUACACAAAUAAUUAGCAUUUGUUUGUAUUUUUCAGUUAUUGAUAGUUUAGUCAGAUGAGUAAUGCUUUUAUAUUAUUUUUCUGUGACUUUUAAGUAUUUUUAUUUAGAAUAAAAUGUAUUCUAAAAUGCUA